CAAACAACAAAGCUGGCCGUAGACUUUUACGUGGCGUGGUGGGGGGAGGCUGAAGGGGUCGAGGGGUGUGGACGACGGCAAGCUGGGCACAGAUUAGGGUGGCCCUGAGGCGAGAAUGGGAAGAAGCAAUCGAAACAUGGCGGAAAGGGGCCGCAGCGCAUUUUUGCAACUUUUUAGAAUGCGAUCCGAAGAAAAGAGCUUCUUCACCGGGGGAGGGGGUGCAUUUACUUUUUCUCCCUCACGUACAAAAGAGAAGUUGGAUCAGGCUACAUAAGGACGUGAUUGCGGCCUGCAGAAAAGGUGGUAGAUACGGGAGAGGGAGGAAGGGAACUGAUUUGUGGGGCCCUGAAUUUCCGCGGCCAUUGCAAUCAACGAGCUGUAUUCAUUUAUUUUAAGAUUUGUAUCCCGCUUUGUCACCGGAACUUCGAAAGCGGCCGUCAGUAUAAGAAACCCCUCUAAAAACCAGACCAGCAGAGUUAGUCGGGUUGUUUAAUGGCGGCUGGAGUUACGGGGAAUGCGUAUGGUGAGCCCUGAAAGUUCACCGUGGAAGAUUCUCGCAGCAUUUCUCCAGCCGUUUUAUUUUAUGUAUUCUAAGCGAAUAGGCAUACUCCAGGCUGAGCAAAUGGAGGAGUCUGCUGAUGACACUGGGGAGCCCCAAACAGCCGGCAGACUUGUUUGCAUCAAUAAUGACAGAGUCAAGGCCGUGCAAGAAAGCGGACAAUGAAAUUAACCAGACAGUGGCUGUGCUUUGUAAGGAUUUUUCCAUUCUGAGAUUUCUUCAGCAGCUGUGUUAGAGAUGAAAUAGUUCUACCUAUGCUACCCUUUCUACGUGACAUUUAAUUGAAGUGUACUAGCAUACAAAUAGCUGGGACCCAAAUACCUAAAGAAAGAUGUGCAUCCUUUCUGAUGCUGGAGGCCCAGACCAUGCAAAACAUUAUAGGUCAGAAUCAGCCCCUGGAUUUAUGCAUGCGACAACGGCCGUGAGAGUUCUAAUAGCACAAGGAUGGAAGACUGAAGAAACCCCAACUAAAGAAUCAUGGCAAGAAAAAUUGAUGGACUAUGCAGAACUGGCAAAAUUGACAUAUAAGCUACGCUACAAGGAUAACUGUGACUUUAAAGAUGAAUGGGAACCCUUUCCCAUUUGAAGACGCAACAAAGCGAACUGGACUCCUUGGCUGGCUUUGUUCACAAACUUUUCUAUUGAUGACAAUCAGCUAAAUAGUUUGAGAAUCUAUACAACUGUGUAACAUGCAGAAAACAGCAUUCUUAGAGAAAUCAAAGACUGGAACUA